rnacentral:rRNA from 1 species
AUGGAUUUGCAACUCCAUUUGAUUGAAACUAUUACAAACGAUUUUUCAGAGUAUCAGAAAGUUGGAAGUGGUGGGUAUGGAGAUGUUUACAAGGCAGUGUAUAAAGGGGAAGAGAUUGCUGUGAAGAAACUUCAUCCCUUGCAAGGACUUGAUGAUAAGCAAUUUCACAGUGAAUUGCUUAACCUCACCAAGGUUUCUCACAAAAAUGUUGUACGAUUAAUUGGCUACUGCUAUGAAUCUCGGCAUAAAUACGUCAAGAACAAUGGGGAGACUAUCUGGGCGAAAUCGAUGGAGCGUGUUCUCUGCUUCGAAUAUAUGCAGGGUGGAAGCCUCGAAAAACAUAUUGCAGAUGAAUCCUGUGAACUUGACUGGCCCACAUGUUACAACAUCAUAAGAGGGACUUGCGAGGGUUUAAAUCACCUUCACAGUGCUCCAGAUAACCCUAUUUUCCAUCUGGACUUAAAGCCAGCUAAUAUACUGCUAGAUAAGAGCAUGACACCCAAAAUUGCAGAUCUUGGUUUGUCACGGGUUUUUGCUUCAUCAGAAACACAUCAAACAGAGAUUGUCAAAGGAACACACGGGUAUAUGCCACCGGAAUACGUAGCCCAUCGCCGUAUAUCAAAGAAGUUUGACGUGUUCAGUUUAGGCGUCAUAAUUAUAAAGAUGGUGGCUGGAAAUACUGACUAUUCUGACAUGCCUCCCAAGGAGUUUAUCAAGCUUGCAAGGGAAAACUGGACCAAAAGGUUGCAGGCGAUGCCGGACUCAUACUCAUCACACGAAGUAGACAUCCUACGAGUCACUAAGUGCGUUGAGAUUGCAUUAAGGUGUGUGGACAAGGAUAGAGAUAAAAGGCCUUGUAUUAAGGAUAUUGUCCAAGAACUUGAGGAACUAGAAGCUGAGAUACAGAAAAUGUUACAAACUUCUGAUCUUUCAGAAAACCUAACCGUCCAGAGAAGCCGUGGCACCAACAUUCUGUCGGUCGAUCCGACACUAGAGAUGAGGUUCCUCUUCGAGCCAAGGAAGGAGGUAUCAUGCUGCCUGCAACUUACCAACAAGACAGACGACUUCAUAGCGUUCAACGUAAAUAUAAACCGACCCAAGUACCACACAAGGCCGAGCAGAGGAACCAUGCCACCAUGUUCGAAGAGGUACAUUGCCAUAACGCUGCGAGCACAAGCGGUGGCCCCGCUCAACAUGCAGUGCCACGACAUGCUGCUUGUGCAGAGCAUCCGCAUCAACCAAGAGUUGGCAUCAGAUCCUGAUAAGAUCGAUUAUCAAGAAUUGUUUGAGGUGGUCGUGGAGGAUGAUGUGGUGAAGCUACCGAUCGUUUAUGUUACAGCAGAACAAUAG